GGUACAAGCAUCCGUAUGCCCCUGGAAACCAACAUUAGAGCCAAUGCUCGGGGGUUCAUGCAGGCUGUCUGAAAACUAGGGUUUGGAGAUAAAAGAGCAAAGGGAGAGGAAUCUGGGAGACUCCUGUGGAUGGGUCUUUAAUUUCUUCCUUUUUUCUCGUCUGUAAAAGCCUGCUAAUGACACUCGGCCUCCACAGGCCUUGGGAGGAUGAAAGGAAAAUGCUGGAAGGGAAUGUGCCAGAAGUCCUCUGGAAGGGCAUCCGCAGUUAGGAAACGGCAAGGCUUGUGUUUCCUGGAGCUGUUCCCAGGCCGCUGUCGACACCCACGGCCCUCUCUGCCCCCUCACCAGCCUAAACUGCCCUUUCAACUAGCAAGCCGGAAGCAUGGAGCACGGGGCUUAGAAGCUUCUCCCCUCUGAUGCAGGAAGCAGCCCAACGAGAUCUUCCUUGCUGGGAGAAGUUGAAGGGGAGAGACUUUGUUUUUUAAAGAAAUCACUUGAAGAGGACCAGAUUACUGAAUCCUCAAAUCCCGGAACAGAGGUGCUGUUGAAUCAUACUGUGGUAUCAUACAUUGGUAACAUAAAGGAUUCCAACUAUG